GCGGGACGCUAGGGGUCCUGGCCUACGAUGAUUCACGUGGCCGGGUGAGAAAUACCCUCGAACCUGAUCUGGGUAAUGCCAGCGAAGGGAAGCAAUCGGAAAAACAC
rnacentral:ncRNA from 2 species